rnacentral:rRNA from 1 species
CCUACGGGCGGCAGCAGUGGGGAAUAUUGGGCAAUGGGCGCAAGCCUGACCCAGCAACGCCGCGUGAAGGAAGAAGGCUUUCGGGUUGUAAACUUCUUUUGACAGGGAAGAGUAGAAGACGGUACCUGUCGAAUAAGCCACGGCUAACUACGUGCCAGCAGCCGCGGUAAUACGUAGGUGGCAAGCGUUGUCCGGAUUUACUGGGUGUAAAGGGCGUGUAGCCGGGUUGACAAGUCAGAUGUGAAAUCCUGCGGCUUAACCGCAGAACUGCAUUUGAAACUGUUGAUCUUGAGUACUGGAGAGGCAGACGGAAUUCGUAGUGUAGCGGUGAAAUGCGUAGAUAUUAGGAGGAACACCAGUGGCGAAGGCAGUCUGCUGGACAGCAACUGACGGUGAGGCGCGAAAGCGUGGGGAGCAAACAGGAUUAGAUACCCUAGUAGUC